GAAUAUUUAACAACGCUAACAUCUCUUUUGAAAUAUACUUUCCAGCUGGUAGCUGUGUUGGGCCUUUAGUCCAAGGACCUACUUGCGAUAUCAUCCGACCAGGAGAGAAAUGGACAGGUCUCGUUUCCGCCAGAAUUCUUCCUGCCUCGGACGCCCGAUCUAUCAUCGCAAUGCCUAUGAGUCCUCCUAAAGGAAUGAC